rnacentral:rRNA from 1 species
CCUACGGGAGGCAGCAGUAGGGAAUCUUUCACAAUGGGCGAAAGCCUGAUGGAGCAACGCCGCGUGCAGGAUGAAUGCCUUCGGGUUGUAAACUGCUUUUAUAAGCGAGAAAUAUGAUGGUAACUUAUGAAUAAGGAUCGGCUAACUACGUGCCAGCAGCCGCGGUCAUACGUAGGAUCCGAGCAUUAUCCGGAGUGACUGGGUGUAAAGAGUUGCGUAGGUGGCAUAAUAAGUAGCUAGUGAAAUCUGGUGGCUCAAACAUUCAGACUAUUAGCUAAACUGUUAAGCUCGAGACCGUUAGGGGUAACUGGAAUUUCUAGUGUAGGAGUGAAAUCCGUAGAUAUUAGAAGGAACACCAAUAGCGUAGGCAGGUUGCUGGGACGGUUCUGACACUAAGGCACGAAAGCGUAGGGAGCAAACGGGAUUAGAUACCCUUGUAGUA